rnacentral:hammerhead_ribozyme from 1 species
AUCCAUCUGACGAGUCCCAAAUAGGACGAAACACGCGUCCUGAAU